GUUUAUAUAGUUUAAAAAAUACUAGUGUGUGGUUCUAGAGAUAUAAAGAAAAUUUAUUAUAAACA
rnacentral:tRNA from 1 species